GGUUAAGCGACUAAGCGUACACGGUGGAUGCCCUGGCAGUCAGAGGCGAUGAAGGACGUGCUAAUCUGCGAUAAGCGUCGGUGAGGUGAUAUGAACCGUUAUAACCGGCGAUUUCCGAAUGGGGAAACCCAGUGUGUUUCGACACACUAUCAUUAACUGAAUCCAUAGGUUAAUGAGGCGAACCGGGGGAACUGAAACAUCUAAGUACCCCGAGGAAAAGAAAUCAACCGAGAUUCCCCCAGUAGCGGCGAGCGAACGGGGAGGAGCCCAGAGCCUGAAUCAGUGUGUGUGUUAGUGGAAGCGUCUGGAAAGGCGCGCGAUACAGGGUGACAGCCCCGUACACAAAAAUGCACAUAUUGUGAGCUCGAUGAGUAGGGCGGGACACGUGGUAUCCUGUCUGAAUAUGGGGGGACCAUCCUCCAAGGCUAAAUACUCCUGACUGACCGAUAGUGAACCAGUACCGUGAGGGAAAGGCGAAAAGAACCCCGGCGAGGGGAGUGAAAAAGAACCUGAAACCGUGUACGUACAAGCAGUGGGAGCCUCUUAAUGGGGUGACUGCGUACCUUUUGUAUAAUGGGUCAGCGACUUAUAUUCUGUAGCAAGGUUAACCGAAUAGGGGAGCCGAAGGGAAACCGAGUCUUAACUGGGCGUUAAGUUGCAGGGUAUAGACCCGAAACCCGGUGAUCUAGCCAUGGGCAGGUUGAAGGUUGGGUAACACUAACUGGAGGACCGAACCGACUAAUGUUGAAAAAUUAGCGGAUGACUUGUGGCUGGGGGUGAAAGGCCAAUCAAACCGGGAGAUAGCUGGUUCUCCCCGAAAGCUAUUUAGGUAGCGCCUCGUGAAUUCAUCUCCGGGGGUAGAGCACUGUUUCGGCAAGGGGGUCAUCCCGACUUACCAACCCGAUGCAAACUGCGAAUACCGGAGAAUGUUAUCACGGGAGACACACGGCGGGUGCUAACGUCCGUCGUGAAGAGGGAAACAACCCAGACCGCCAGCUAAGGUCCCAAAGUCAUGGUUAAGUGGGAAACGAUGUGGGAAGGCCCAGACAGCCAGGAUGUUGGCUUAGAAGCAGCCAUCAUUUAAAGAAAGCGUAAUAGCUCACUGGUCGAGUCGGCCUGCGCGGAAGAUGUAACGGGGCUAAACCAUGCACCGAAGCUGCGGCAGCGACACUAUGUGUUGUUGGGUAGGGGAGCGUUCUGUAAGCCUGUGAAGGUGUACUGUGAGGU
rnacentral:rRNA from 1 species